UUUUUGGGGAGGGGGUUCGGGCGCGCCCCCGCAGCAGCCGCGGGUGUGGCGGUGGCAGCGGGCCGGUGGCACCGGGGGGGGAGGCUCCCGUGUGCCCCCCCGGCCGGGGAUCGAUGGCAUCGAUGGCCGGGCGGGACCACCGAUAGGGGCGGGGUCAUUCACGGGGGCGGGGCCAUCGGGGGCGUGGCUCGGUGGCUGUGGGCGUGGCCCCGGUGGUGGCGCGCCGCUGCCUCUGCCGCUCCCGCCGUCCCGCCCGGCGUCACUUCCGCUUCCGCCCGCGCCGGAAGAGCCGCCAGUCUCGCCGCCAUGGCCUCAAGGUUACUGCGGGUGAGCGCGGCCCUGCGGCUCCUGCCCGCGGCCACCGCCCG